GGGUGUGACUAUACCAGCACGAGUACACCGAAUCCCAUCAGAACUCCGCAGUUAAGCAUGCGUGGGCGAGAGUAGUACCAGGAUGGGUUACCUCCUGCGAAGUCCUCAUGUUACACCCA